rnacentral:tRNA from 1 species
GGAGGUGUAGCUCAGUGGCAGGGCAUCUGCCUAACAUGCACAAGGUCCUGGGCUCAAUUCCUAGUUCUG